rnacentral:rRNA from 1 species
AUAGGGGAGCCGCAGGGAAACCGAGUCUUAACUGGGCGUUAAGUUGCAGGGUAUAGACCCGAAACCCGGUGAUCUAGCCAUGGGCAGGUUGAAGGUUGGGUAACACUAACUGGAGGACCGAACCGACUAAUGUUGAAAAAUUAGCGGAUGACUUGUGGCUGGGGGUGAAAGGCCAAUCAAACCGGGAGAUAGCUGGUUCUCCCCGAAAGCUAUUUAGGUAGCGCCUCGUGAACUCAUCUUCGGGGGUAGAGCACUGUUUCGGCUAGGGGGUCAUCCCGACUUACCAACCCGAUGCAAACUACGAAUACCGAAGAAUGUUAUCACGGGAGACACACGGCGGGUGCUAACGUCCGUCGUGAAGAGGGAAACAACCCAGACCGCCAGCUAAGGUCCCAAAGUCAUGGUUAAGUGGGAAACGAUGUGGGAAGGCCCAGACAGCCAGGAUGUUGGCUUAGAAGCAGCCAUCAUUUAAAGAAAGCGUAAUAGCUCACUGGUCGAGUCGGCCUGCGCGGAAGAUGUAACGGGGCUAAACCAUGCACCGAAGCUGCGGCAGCGAC